CUCCAAUCUAUACAUGUUAAGAUCCUUUAACCUUUCCUGGUAAGUUUUAUCCCGCAAUCCAUGAACCAGUUUAGUAGCCCUUCUCUGAACCCUCUCGGUAUCAAUAUCCUUCUGAAGAUACGGUCUCCAGUACUGUGUACAAUACUCCAAGUGAGGUCUCACCAGUGUUCUGUACAAUGGCAUUAGCACUUCCCUCUUUCUACUGCUAAUACCUUUCCCUAUACAACCAAGCAUUCUGCUAGCAUUUCCUAAGUUUAGUAAUGGAAGAAAAUAUUGUGUCCUGCAGUCUUUACAAGAGGCCUGCAUGGGGUUAAGCUCCUCCUUUGGUCAAAGAAGGUCAAGCAUAGGAAAAAUACAUACUACAAACUACUUUGUCUUAUGUUUUAAAGAAACCAAGAUGAGAACAGAUUCUGAGAGAGGGCGAGAAGAGGAAGCGAUUGGGGAAAGGUACGUUUGGCAUGACAGUGCAGGUUUAAACUAAAGUUGUUUUGAUGACUAUAGUGUCCCUUUAAUGUAC